GGUAUAGUUGGUGCAAAAGUAAUUGCAGUUUUUGCCAUUGCUUUUGAUGGCAAAACAGCAAUUACUUUUGCACCAUCCUAAUA
rnacentral:miRNA from 1 species